AAAUUUAACUUUUCUUGUGGAUUUUGGAUUCUCAGACACUCUGAGUACCUAUGAUGACUUGGAUUCUGAUGCGAUAAAGAACUACUCUGAGUUCUCCUUGGCUAGUCUUUUGUUUUAUGGCAUGAAGGAGGGAGCCUGUAGCGAGCAGAGCUCUCGCAUGACUGCAAUGGACAGUGCUAGUAAAAAUGCGGGUGAAAUGAUUGACAAGUUGACUUUGACAUACAAUCGAACUCGCCAAGCUGUGAUUACAAGGGAGUUGAUUGAGAUCAUCUCAGGAGCUGCUGCGUUGGAUUAGAUUUAGAACUUUUUAUUAAAAUGAUGUCUUAAGUAAUGUUUGUAACUGUUGAAAUAAAGAAGCCCUUGGAGGUGUGUUUCCAUCCUUGACAAAAUU